rnacentral:lncRNA from 1 species
UCCUAGUCUCUCUCUUGGCCGAAUUCUCUGCAGCAAAAACACAACACAAAGUUGCCAUUUUCAUCCUCAAUUCUUGCACAAAAACUUCAUGGAUUCACACCAAAUUUGAACUACACUUAGCUUGUCACGUGGAGAGAUCAUCUAGCUAGAAAAAGGAGGAGUUUCUCACGGUUUCUUGGAGCAUCUUGAGGACCGAAAUUUCUGGUUUAAAGCAACAAGGAGGUAUAACCUCAUCCUACACCUUAAGCUUGGUUUAUGAUGGUAGAAAUGCAUCCUUAAGCUAUUGCAUGUGUAUGGGUAUCUUGAUAUUGUUGGAAAAAUGUGAAAGUGGGCUCUAUGGAUUCCCACACUUGGGUUGUUGCUGAUUUGAUGAUUGAUGGUGGAUAUAUUGUUGGUUUAGUGGUUAAAAUGAUGGAUUAAUGGUGUGUAAUUGACAGAAAUUUCAUUGGGUGCAAGAGGCAAAAGUUUCCGAUUUUACCCCUGCCUUGUCCGACCACUUUUGUGCAAAAUUUUGAAGUUCUAAUGGCUUGAUUAUGUUGUUUACAUGUUAUUGUGAGUGUGUACAAAAUUUCAUUGAAAAAUAACAUGAUUUGGUUGGUCAAAUGAAUUGAUUUCGAAAGUUAGCAAAUCUGGAAAAUGAUUCCCGUAUUGACCAGGCAGUCAUUUUGUAUCGGCUAUAACUCUUUACUCCGAUGUCGAAAUCAAGUGCCGUUUGCGGCAUUGGAAACUAGACAUUCCCAGCUUUCCAUUGGUACUAAAUUCGCGUUCUGGUUCCACUUGAGUGAGCCACACCAUUCGUUUGAAAAUCACUGCCCUGUUUCGUUGCUCUCCAGGAGACAGGACAGAAAUUUCUUCUUGAUGCUCAAAAACGAGCUGUUUGUGGAUAGAAUUUGGAAAUGGUUUCUUCUGAGAAAAUUCAGCUUUAUGAGAGAGAUUUCUAACGCCAUCAACACGCUCAAUUCCAAGUUGAAUUGAGUGAGUUGUGGCCAUAUUUCGAAACUGAUGCAGUGAGUAAAAAUCCUCUUUUGACUAGUUAAAUGGCCUAGCUUGAUUUGGGACUUGUUGUUUUGGAAAAUUUGAUGUCCAACAUCUACCAAACUUUAUAUUAGAUGUUUCUUGGACUUUGUUUUACAAAUAAACCAGAUUUGGGUUGGUUGCUUUGGACAAAAUAUUUAAAAAGGAAAGAAGAGCUAGAAGACAGUUUUACCUUGGGAAAUUUCCUGAACUUUGAUGGUUUAGUUAACUACCUUCCCGUGUGAAUUUUCAAAUGAAAUUUGGUAGAAGAGUAAUCCUCAUAUGGAGGUUUAAUUGUACAAAAUUUGGUAAUAUUCUAAGACCAUUUUGAUAUGCAAAUGAUGUCACAAAAUUCGCUCAUCGAAUCUGGAAAACUUUUGUUUUCUCUUAGCCGAAUGGCAAAUCUGAUUUGGAGAGUUUUAUUUCGAAAAUUUGGAUGUCAAUGGUCUUUAAAUUGCUCAGUGAAUGUUUAUGAACUCCUGGUUUCAAUAAUGGAGAGAUUUGGAACUGAUUUCAUGGUACAAAAAGUUUGUAAACAAAAGAAAAGUGAGAAGGUAGUUUAGCCUUGAAACUCUUCAUAAACUUUGGUUGUUUUAAUGACUACCUUACCGUGUGAGUUUUUGUAUGAACUUGUAGAAAUGUUGUUCACAUAUGGAAGAUUUAGUGUACCAAGUUUUAUGUAUUUCCACUGCCAACUUGAUGACCAAAUGAUAUUUCAAAUCUAGUUUUAAACCUGGAAAAUAGCCCAACAGUCUUAACUUUUUCAGCAACUUGGAGGUACUAUAUCUUGGUGCUCGAAACUCCGUUUCUCGUUCCGCUUGUUUUGUUAUACUCUUGGAUUGCAACACUAAUUGAUUUCCAAAUUUCAAAGGUUAGUUCAAAACAAGUGAUUUUGCCGAAUUUCUAAAGUUGGCCAAAAACCAACUUAAAUCUGUCUUGGUAAUUCAAGUUACCAACUUUGAGCCAAAAUUUGAGUGCCUUUCACUUACAUUCGUGGAAAAGUGUCUUCUAAGAACUUUUAGUACUUUGAAAGAGGAUUCCAACAGUAAAGUUUUCCAAUUUUGGACUUGUGGAGAGUGAAAUAUGAUUUUUCAAAUAUUACUUGUUAAAUCUGGAAUUUUUUAACUUAAAGGAAACUAAAGGUUUCAAACCCUCCAUUUUCCUUCAAUAUCAUUUGAUCGUUUUACAUUUGAUUUUAAAGAUGGAAAUCAGAUUUGUCUUGUAUUUUAAAACCCACUUUUGAACCUCGAGUUACACGAACUCUUAGACUUGCCUCUGCGUUAAUUUCUUAGAUUGUACUAGUGUACAAUUUUCCUCGAUAAUUAGAAUGAUUUUGAGUGGUAGUUGAUUAUUGUUGCUCAGGCACUCGAGGGAAUCUCCCAGAGGAACUCGGAGCGGACACCUAAAACGCUUGUUUGAGAACUACUCGCUUGUUUUGACUAGGUGAGUGUUCCAUAUAGGAAUACGUAAUUGGAAUAAGUCUAUGACAUGCUUAACCCAUGGUCAUUAAGUAUUUACCACACUCAUGCAUAUUUGAAUAAUGUAUACUUGAAUUGCUCGACAUAAACACCUGAAGUAUGUAUAUUUGAACUUUGAUAUGAAAUGCUUAAAGAGCAUACUUAUGUGAUUACUUGAAAUACUAGAUAUGAAAUGUUUGGAGAGCAUAUUUACAUGAUGUGUUUAAAUGAUUAAUUAUGCUAUGGAAGCAUAAGUCGGUUGGAGUGAAUCUCCUCGACUCUUACGUGGUGAAAGUGAAAAACGGCCAAUGGCGGCCUAUUGAAAUGACAUAUGUCUACCAAUUAACCGUAAUUACUACCGUUAACCGUUUACGUUUACCGUGUUUACUUACCGUUUUCUAAUCUAUGUGGUUACUUGCCUACUUGAUUAUCUGCUUACGUGAUCACCAACUUACUUGAUUACUUGACCACCUGAUUACUUGAUUAUCAUAAAUUAUAUGCUCAUAUGAAGUGGGCCACGGUUUUAAAGCUGAGUCCAUCAUUAUUAGCUGUGUACUUUACCUCACUCGACCUACUCAAAUGAUGAAUUUUUACUUUUGUCGAAUUACUUGGUUACCUGUGCAUGUUGUAAGCUCUAAGCUGAACUUGGGCCCCGCCCUGGUUACUGACCUACUCGAGCCAGGACUGGGCUCGGUCGGGUAGGUUGGAACCCUGGCCACCGUUUCGGUAUACUCGAGUAUUACCACUGGAGGGAUAAGGCGAUGGCCAGACACGUACCGUGGGGAUCAGAAGUCAUAAGGUGCAGAUGACCGACAGAGUUCCACUGGAACACCGUAUCCUACCGUAUAUGUUUACCUUGUAUCAUGAUAAUUGUUUCAUGCUAAAAUGUCAACAUGAAAUCCUGAACUAUGGUGAUAUGCUUCCAUACCUGUUACCUGACCAAUGUACUUAUAUCAUGAUACCUGUCUCAUGAUAAAUGUCUCUAUACCAUGAUAAAUGUCUCAAAUUACUCGUACAAUGAUUAUCACCUCAUGAUAACACGCCAUUGUGUAACCAUUGAACCAUGCAUAUGAUAUGCCCAACUUACUUGAUUUAUUUGAACUGUUAGAGUGUCUUGGAACCUCACUGGGCUGUGUAGCUCAUCCCACGUUGUGGUUUUCUUUUUACAGGGUUCGAGACCAAGGGUGCUCGUGAGUAGUACUAGAUUGUUUUCUUUUGAAACUUUAAGUUAUAUUAUAACGGAUGGCUAUUGUACCCUUUUUCGUUGGGUUGUAUUUUAAGCUUGGAAGCUGCAUAAUUGUAAGUGUGAGAUAUUUGGAGUACUUUAAUUAUGUAUUGAAGUUACUUAAAGUAUUUCGAGCUUUUGAAUGAUGGAUUGUAGUGAGUCCUGGCGAGAAGCUGGGCAGGCGUCCCGCGGAUACCCUUUGGUUCGCCUUAGGGAGAAGUGGGGGCGUUACAAUUGGUAUCAGAGCUUAGGCUUCAGAUUUUGUAGUGUAUCCUAGGCUUAAAUGUUUAGGAUGCCGGACUGUGGGACUAUUCUGAAAGUUAAAUGAUUGCUUGUAGUGAUGAAAUUUAGAGCCACUUCACGUGGUCUCUACAAAGGAGCAAGAUAGGGCCAAGUGGUGUUUGGUCCUUACUAUGUGAUUAAGUAAAGACUUAAGUGCCCUUCUAGAAAUGUAAGUUGUGAAUCAUGAAUGUUAUAGGUUGUAAAACCUUUAUCUUGAUAAUUGGAGGGAAUUUGAUAUGUAUGUUGGGUAGGAAUCUCGAAUGUGGUGAUUUACUCUUGGGACCGGCCGGCUCGAGAUGUGAAUUAUCCUAUUUUGGAUUCUUGAACCCGAGUACUUGGAGUGGAAAGCAACCAUAGGGACUUUAUAUCUCCAUUUGUGGGGAAUAAGAAUGAAUCGAUAUUUCAUGUGAAUGGUUACAGGAAACCAAUAAUUGUUUGGUUAAGAUGGUACAAUAAUUAAGAGUGGAAGAUGGAAAAUAUCGUAACCCAAAAGAUCCUUGUGUUGGGAUUGAAAUCGAGCAUGUUAGGGAACGAGAAUCGUCUAGUUCCAAUUAAUCUAGUGAAUCUCUACUGGUGAUCUUUCAUAGUGAGACGAUGGGAGUAGAACUUAAGAGUUUGCGCCUUGGAGAUGAAUGUACUUGUGAUAAUCACUUGUUUAUUUUUGUUAUUGACUUUGACUUGGCAUGAACUUUACUUGGCCAUAAUUUGUGUUAUGAUUUAAUGAACUCUAGUUUGUGUUUACUUGCAUAGUGAUAAUGUUAUUUGUGAAAGUGUCUUCAUCCUCUUUAAAUGUUGCUACUGGUAUAUGAGUGUAGUUCAAUUUUAACUAAGUGUGAGGGUUAUGCAUGUGCGUAUAGAUUAGUUGUGGACAUGGAAACUAGAGGACAACGAAAGGGACGUCAACCUAGACAACCCCGAAAUGAAAGAGUAGCUAAUGGGUCCGAUAUCGAUCAAAACGUUGAGCUAAGUGCUGGGAGAGGAAAUGACCAGAUAGGACAAGUUUUAACUCGCAUGACGGAUAUCCUAGAGCUCUUGGUAGCUCAACAAGGUCAAGGUGUUGGACAAGGAAACCAACGUGGAAACCAAGAGAUAGGGGAGGAUCGAGCUUUAGAGCGGUUUCAGAAAUUCUCUCCGCCCAAGUUUGCUGGAGGGCCUGAUCCAGAGGUGGCUGAGAAUUGGUUAGAAAUAUAAGAAAUAUAUUCGAUGCCUUGGAUUACACAGAGGAGAGACAAGUCACAUUUGCUGUAUUUCAACUUGAAGGAGCAGCCCGAGCAUGGUGGAAUGUUAUAAGAAACAAGUGGGAAAGAGAUCAAACUCCGAGAAUUUGGAUAAACUUCGUGCGUGAAUUUAAUGAGAAAUUUCUUCCUCCACUUGUCCAAGAAAAGAGAGAAGAUGAUUUUAUAAAGCUUCGUCAAGGAACUUUAAGCGUAGCUGAGUAUGAAACACGCUUUACGAAGUUAUCUACAUAUGCCCCAGAAUUGGUGGCUACUGAACGGAAGAGAAUAAGACGGUUUAUCCAAGGAUUAGAUUUGGAAAUCCAAGAUGCCCUUGCCGCAGCACAGGUUGAAACAUUUAGUGACGCUCUUGAAAAAGCGCAAAGGGUAGAAAGCACAAAAUCUCAACUGAGAGCUUUUCAAAAAAGGAAAAGAGAUACAUCUGACAGUACACUAGGAAAAAAUGGACCACCACCCAAAGUUAGAAAAGAAGUGGAUGAAGUAGGACUGUUACACUUCCUGCACCACUCAUGAUAAAGGAACCAAAAGGAACUAUGUCACGAGGGACUUCAGUAGGACAAACACGAUCAAAGAAAACCUCGCAAGCAAGUCAGGUCACAACACCUCGUCCGACUUGUGGAUAUUGUGGAAGGACGAAUCACACUGAAGAAAACUGUUGGCUAAAGGGACGAAAGUGUAUGGGAUGUGGGAGUACCAAUCAUAAAGUUCAUGACUGUCCAAGGAGGUAUCCGAGAAACUACUGCUCAACAAGGAAAUGGAACUGUUCCUCGACAAGUCAAUGGAAGGAGAAACCGACCAAUGGCAUCUGAAAGAACGCAUGACAUGAACACACACGGUUCAGAGUUGUCUGAGAUUACAGAAGGUAUGAAUUUCGAGGACGAAAUUCUUUUAAGGAGGGGAGGUUGUGAGGACUCGCAAAAUUUACUUAUUUAAUCUCCUAUUUCUAGCUUAUUUAAUUAUUUAUUUGGUCUUUUACUCCGAAUAUUAUUUUCUAAGCUCUUGAGACUAAUUACAUGGAAAUAUAGUUUCAUUAUAUUUUUAAAAUGACUUGUUUCAAAAAUUAAUUUUCGGAAGCUCGUUUUGUAAAAAUAGUGAACACGUCUUUGGAAAUCUUGAUCGAUUGAGAGUACAAUAGGUUUGAAAUAUUGGAGACAUGUACAAUGGACCUAAAAUUAGGCAUUUUAAUGUUUAAAUACUCAAGUGAUGGUUAGUAGUACGGACGUUAUAAGAAUUUCUCGGAGGUUUCGCGUUAUAGCGAUAAAAUUGACGGUACACGUUUCCACACGCGUGACUUUAUUUGAGGGACUUUAGACCCUUAUUUCGGGAUAAUUAAGAGUGAAUAUUAUCUACAUGAAUAUAAGUGCAUUAGAGGUUUAGUGCACUAGUGAACCAAACGCGCGAGAAAUCGAGCCGAAACGCGCCCAAACGCACCCAAACGCACCCUAGUGAGAGUUGACUUUGGGGAUGAUUUUUGCACCACACAUUGUGUCUUCCUUAAGAAGCUAAAUUUAGACCAAACACUCUCUCUCCUAGUCUCUCUCUUGGCCGAAUUCUCUGCAGCAAAAACACAACACAAAGUUGCCAUUUUCAUCUCAAUUCUUGCACAAAAACUUCAUGGAUUCACACCAAAUUUGAACUACACUUAGCUUGUCACGUGGAGAGAUCAUCUAGCUAGAAAAAGGAGGAGUUUCUCACGGUUUCUUGGAGCAUCUUGAGGACCGAAAUUUCUGGUUUAAAGCAACAAGGAGGUAUAACCUCAUCCUACACCUUAAGCUUGGUUUAUGAUGGUAGAAAUGCAUCCUUAAGCUAUUGCAUGUGUAUGGGUAUCUUGAUAUUGUUGGAAAAAUGUGAAAGUGGGCUCUAUGGAUUCCCACACUUGGGUUGUUGCUGAUUUGAUGAUUGAUGGUGGAUAUAUUGUUGGUUUAGUGGUUAAAAUGAUGGAUUAAUGGUGUGUAAUUGACAGAAAUUUCAUUGGGUGCAAGAGGCAAAAGUUUCCGAUUUUACCCCUGCCUUGUCCGACCACUUUUGUGCAAAAUUUUGAAGUUCUAAUGGCUUGAUUAUGUUGUUUACAUGUUAUUGUGAGUGUGUACAAAAUUUCAUUGAAAAAUAACAUGAUUUGGUUGGUCAAAUGAAUUGAUUUCGAAAGUUAGCAAAUCUGGAAAAUGAUUCCCGUAUUGACCAGGCAGUCAUUUUGUAUCGGCUAUAACUCUUUACUCCGAUGUCGAAAUCAAGUGCCGUUUGCGGCAUUGGAAACUAGACAUUCCCAGCUUUCCAUUGGUACUAAAUUCGCGUUCUGGUUCCACUUGAGUGAGCCACACCAUUCGUUUGAAAAUCACUGCCCUGUUUCGUUGCUCUCCAGGAGACAGGACAGAAAUUUCUUCUUGAUGCUCAAAAACGAGCUGUUUGUGGAUAGAAUUUGGAAAUGGUUUCUUCUGAGAAAAUUCAGCUUUAUGAGAGAGAUUUCUAACGCCAUCAACCACGCUCAAUUCCAAGUUGAAUUGAGUGAGUUGUGGCCAUAUUUCGAAACUGAUGCAGUGAGUAAAAAUCCUCUUUUGACUAGUUAAAUGGCCUAGCUUGAUUUGGGACUUGUUGUUUUGGAAAAUUUGAUGUCCAACAUCUACCAAACUUUAUAUUAGAUGUUUCUUGGACUUUGUUUUACAAAUAAACCAGAUUUGGGUUGGUUGCUUUGGACAAAAUAUUUAAAAAGGAAAGAAGAGCUAGAAGACAGUUUUACCUUGGGAAAUUUCCUGAACUUUGAUGGUUUAGUUAACUACCUUCCCGUGUGAAUUUUCAAAUGAAAUUUGAUAGAAGAGUAAUCCUCAUAUGGAGGUUUAAUUGUACAAAAUUUGGUAAUAUUCUAAGACCAUUUUGAUAUGCAAAUGAUGUCACAAAAUUCGCUCAUCGAAUCUGGAAAACUUUUGUUUUCUCUUAGCCGAAUGGCCAAAUCUGAUUUGGAGAGUUUUAUUUCGAAAAUUUGGAUGUCAAUGGUCUUUAAAUUGCUCAGUGAAUGUUUAUGAACUCCUGGUUUCAAUAAUGGAGAGAUUUGGAACUGAUUUCAUGGUACAAAAAGUUUGUAAACAAAGAAAAGUGAGAAGGUAGUUUAGCCUUGAAACUCUUCAUAAACUUUGGUUGUUUUAAUGACUACCUUACCGUGUGAGUUUUUGUAUGAAACUUGGUAGAAAUGUUGUUCACAUAUGGAAGAUUUAGUGUACCAAGUUUUAUGUAUUUCCACUGCCAACUUGAUGACCAAAUGAUAUUUCAAAUCUAGUUUUAAACCUGGAAAAUAGCCCAACAGUCUUAACUUUUUCAGCAACUUGGAGGUACUAUAUCUUGGUGCUCGAAACUCCGUUUCUCGUUCCGCUUGUUUUGUUAUACUCUUGGAUUGCAACACUAAUUGAUUUCCAAAUUUCAAAGGUUAGUUCAAAACAAGUGAAUUUUGCCGAAUUUCUAAAGUUGGCCAAAAACCAACUUAAAUCUGUCUUGGUAAUUCAAGUUACCAACUUUGAGCCAAAAUUUGAGUGCCUUUCACUUACAUUCGUGGAAAAGUGUCUUCUAAGAACUUUUAGUACUUUGAAAGAGGAUUCCAACAGUACCAAGUUUUCCAAUUUUGGACUUGUGGAGAGUGAAAUAUGAUUUUUCAAAUAUUACUUGUUAAAUCUGGAAUUUUUAACUUAAAGGAAACUAAGGUUUCAAACCCUCAUUUUCCUUCAAUAUCAUUUGAUCGUUUUACAUUUGAUUUAAAGAUGGAAAUCAGAUUUGUCUUGUAUUUUAAAACCCACUUUUGAACCUCGAGUUACACGAACUCUUAGACUUGCUCUGCGUUAAUUUCUUAGAUUGUACUAGUGUACAAUUUUCCUCGAUAAUUAGAAUGAUUUUGAGUGGUAGUUGAUUAUUGUUGCUCAGGCACUCGAGGGAAUCUCCCAGAGGAACUCGGAGCGGACACCUAAAACGCUUGUUUGAGAACUACUCGCUUGUUUUGACUAGGUGAGUGUUCCAUAUAGGAAUACGUAAUUGGAAUAAGUCUAUGACAUGCUUAACCCAUGGUCAUUAAGUAUUUACCACACUCAUGCAUAUUUGAAUAAUGUAUACUUGAAUUGCUCGACAUGAAACACCUGAAGUAUGUAUAUUUGAACUAUUGAUAUGAAAUGCUUAAAGAGCAUACUUAUGUGAUUACUUGAAAUACUAGAUAUGAAAUGUUUGGAGAGCAUAUUUACAUGAUGUGUUUAAAUGAUUAAUUAUGCUAUGGAAGCAUAAGUCGGUUGGAGUGAAUCUCCUCGACUCUUACGUGGUGAAAGUGAAAAACGGCCAAUGGCGGCCUAUUGAAAUGACAUAUGUCUACCAAUUAACCGUAAUUACUACCGUUAACCGUUUACCGUUUACCGUUACGUGUUUACUUACCGUUUUCUAAUCUAUGUGGUUACUUGCUACUUGAUUAUCUGCUUACGUGAUCACCAACUUACUUGAUUACUUGACCACCUGAUUACUUGAUUAUCAUAAAUUAUGCUCAUAUGAAGUGGGCCACGGUUUUAAGGCGAGUGUGUACUUUACUCACUCGACCUCCAAACAUGAUAAUUUUACUUUUGUCGAAUUACUUUGUUACCUGUGCAUGUUGUAAGCUAUAAGCUGAACUUGGGCCCCGCCUCGGUUACUGACCUACUCGAGCCAGGACUGGGCUCGGUCGGGUAGGUUGGAACCCUGGACACCGUUUCGGUAUACUCGAGUAUUACCACUGGAGGGAUAAGGCGAUGGCCAGACCGUACCGUGGGGAUCGAAGUCAUAAGGUGCAGAUGACCGACAGAGUUCCACUGGAACACCGUAUCCUACCGUAUAUGUUUACCUUGUAUCAUGAUAAUUGUUUCAUGCUAAAAUGUCAACAUGAAAUCCUGAACUAUGCCUGUGAUAUGCUCCAUACCUGUUACCUGACCAAUGUACUUAUAUCAUGAUACCUGUCUCAUGAUAAAUGUCUCAUACCAUGAUAAAUCUCAAAUUACUCGUACAAUGAUUAUCACCUCAUGAUAACACGCCAUUGUGUAACAUUGAACCAUGCAUAUGAUAUGCCCAACUUACUUGAUUUAUUUGAACUGUUAGAGUGUCUUGGAACCUCACUGGGCUGUGUAGCUCAUCCCACGUUGUGGUUUUCUUUUACAGGGUUCGAGACCAAGGGUGCUCGUGAGUAGUACUAGAUUGUUUUCUUUUGAAAACUUUAAGUUAUAUUAUAACGGAUGGCUAUUGUACC